rfam:Triticum aestivum genome assembly, contig: Triticum_aestivum_CS42_TGACv1_scaffold_393350_5AS
UUAAUACUCCCUCUGUCCAGAAAUACUUGUCCUAGAAAUGGUUGUAUCUGGAAUUAUUUUAGUUAUAGAUACAUCCAAUUAUCCACUUUGAGAACAAAUAUUUCCAGACGGAGGGAGUACCUA